GUGGGUAGGGGAGAAAUUCCAAUCGAACCCGGAGAUAGCUGGUUCUCCUCGAAAUAGCUUUAGGGCUAGCCUCAUUUUAGUCUUAUGGAGGUAGAGCACUGAAUUUCCGCGGGGGCGUCAAAGCUUACCAAAGAAUAUCAAACUCCGAAUGCCAUGUAGAUGAUGAAUGGGAGUCAGACUGCACGAGAUAAGUUGGGCAGUCAAAAGGGAAAGAGCCCAGACCACCAGCUAAGGUCCCAAAGUGUGUGUUAAGUGGAAAAGGAUGUGGGAUUUCAAAGACAACUAGGAUGUUGGCUCAGAAGCAGCCACACAUUCAAAGAGUGCGUAACAGCUCACUAGUCGAGAGGUCCUGCGCCGAAAAUGUCCGGGGCUAAAACACAACACCGAAGCUGUGGAAUCACGUAAGUGAUUGGUAGAGGAGCAUUCUUAAGACCGACGAAGCUGUACCGGAAGGAGCAGUGGAGGGAUAAGAAGAGAGAAUGCCGGAAUGAGUAGCGAGAGAGAGGUGAGAAUCCUCUCGGCCGAAUAUCCAAGGUUUCCAGAGUAAAGCUGAUCUGCUCUGGGUAAGUCGGGGCCUAAGGAGAGGUCGAAAGACGUAUCCGAUGGACAACAGGUUUAGAUUCCUGUACCACAUAUAAACAGAACUGUGGGGACGCAUGUGGAAAGCAUAAGCCGGGAAUGGAAAUACCGGUACAAACGGAAGAGGUGUCAGGCUGGCAAAUCCGCCUGGCAAGCCAAAGACGUGAUGUGGAGCGAAAUAAAAGUAGCGAAGUAUGUGAGCCAUGUGCCGAGAAAAGCCGCUAUUGUUUUAUAUGUGCCCGUACCGUAAACCGACACAGGUGGAUGAGGAGAGAAUCCUAAGGCCGACGGAAGAAGCAUUGUUAAGGAACUCGGCAAAAUGACCCCGUAACUUCGGGAGAAGGGGUGCCCACUUCAGGGUGGGCCGCAGAGAAUAGGCUCAAGCAACUGUUUAGCAAAAACACAGGUCUAUGCGAAACCGUAAGGUGAAGUAUAUGGGCUGACGCCUGCCCGGUGCUGGAAGGUUAAGAGGAGAGGUUAGUCGCAAGAUGAAGCUUUGAAUUUAAGCCCCAGUAAACGGCGGCCGUAACUAUAACGGUCCUAAGGUAGCGAAAUUCCUUGUCGGGUAAGUUCCGACCCGCACGAAAGGCGUAAUGAUUUGAGCACUGUCUCGACAAUGCAUCCGGUGAAAUUGAAGUACCAGUGAAGAUGCUGGUUACCCGCGCCAGGAC
rnacentral:rRNA from 1 species